rnacentral:rRNA from 1 species
AGAGUUUGAUCCUGGCUCAGAGUGAACGCUGGCGGCGUGCCUAACACAUGCAAGUCGAACGGAGUUUUCACGGCCGUAGGGGCAACCCGAAAGCUGUGAAAACUGAGUGGCAGACGGGUGAGUAACACGUAGGCAAUCUCCCUUCGAGCGGGGGAUAACCUGGCGAAAGCCGGGCUAAUACCCCAUUGGACCACGGUCCCGCAUGGGACUGGGGUUAAAGUCGAAAGACGCUUGAAGACGAGCCUGCGGUCUAUCAUGGUAGUUGGUGAGGUAACGGCUCACCAAGCCGACGACGGAUAGCCGGCCUGAAAGGGUGGCCGGCCACACUGGCACUGAGACACGGGCCAGACUCCUACGGGAGGCAGCAGUGAGGAAUCUUGGACAAUGGGGGCAACCCUGAUCCAGCGACGCCGCGUGGAGGACGAAGGUCUUCGGAUUGUAAACUCCUUUUCGAGGGGAAGAACACAAUGACGGUACCCUCGGAAUAAGCCACGGCUAACUACGUGCCAGCAGCCGCGGUAAUACGUAGGUGGCAAGCGUUACUCGGAAUCACUAGGCGUAAAGCGCGGGUAGGCGGCUUGACAAGUCUGUCGUGAAAGCUCCUGGCUUAACCGGGAGAGGUCGGCGGAAACUAUCAGGCUUGAGUGUGGGAGGGGGUACUGGAAUUCCCGGUGUAGCGGUGAAAUGCGUAGAGAUCGGGAGGAACACCGAUGGCGAAGGCAGGUACCUGGACCAAUACUGACGCUGAGCCGCGAAAGCUAGGGGAGCAAACAGGAUUAGAUACCCUGGUAGUCCUAGCUGUAAACGAUGCACACUAGAUAUGGGGGGUAUCGACCCCCUCCGUGUCGCAGCAAACGCAUUAAGUGUGCCGCCUGGGGAGUACGGCCGCAAGGUUGAAACUCAAAGGAAUUGACGGGGGCCCGCACAAGCGGUGGAGCAUGUGGUUUAAUUCGACGCAACGCGAAGAACCUUACCUGGGCUUGAACUUGAGGAAGUAGAAUCCUGGAAACAGGAGACGGCCCGUAAAGUCGGGAGCCUUGAGAGGUGCUGCAUGGUUGUCGUCAGCUCGUGUCGUGAGAUGUUGGGUUAAGUCCCGCAACGAGCGCAACCCUUAUCCUAUGUUGCCAUCCCGAAAGGGGGCACUCUUAGGAAACUGCCUCGGAUAACGGGGAGGAAGGUGGGGACGACGUCAAAUCAUCAUGGCCUUUAUGUCCAGGGCUACACACGUGCUACAAUGGCCGGUACAGCGGGAUGCAAGACCGCAAGGUGGAGCCAAACCCCUAAAGCCGGCCCCAGUUCAGAUCGUGGGCUGCAAUUCGCCCACGUGAAGGCGGAAUCGCUAGUAAUCGCAGAUCAGCAGGCUGCGGUGAAUACGUUCCCGGGCCUUGUACACACCGCCCGUCACACCACGAAAGCCCGCUGCAACAGAAAUCCCCGGGUCAUCCGGGGCUGAAGUUGUGGUUGGUGAUUGGGGUGAAGUCGUAACAAGGUAACC